GUUUGGUCUUGUCUCUACUCUAUCCUCUACUCAUCUCUCCUCCUUUGCAGCUCAUCGUCGUCGGCCUCUCAGUCGCCGGUCCCUGUCUCAUCACGAUUCGUGCCAGUCCUCACCGAAUCGCACUCCCGGCGGCGCUGUUUGGUCUUGCCUCUACUCUAUCCUCUGCUCAUCUCUCCUCCUUGGCUCCUUUGCCUCUCGGGCCUCGACGGUUGUGUCUGGCCUCCGGUGGAAUCCCGGCACGCUCCUCUCUCCUCCUCUGCUUCUUGGCGGCUGUGUCUCAUACUUUCAGUGAAGAUGAAGAUGUGAAUUCUCAAGAUACUAGGUGAGGCGGUGUUUCAACUUCCGAAUCAGAUUCAAAUUUUAUUGAUUUGGAAGUUGAUAAUUGAUUUAUGUGGAUUGAUUUAAGGAUUUUUUCGGGUGUCUUGUUGAUUUAUAAAUUAUGUUGUGUGUUUUGUUUUAAUUAUAAUAAAAUUUAUGUGUGGAUUAUGUGUUUGUUUUA